rnacentral:rRNA from 1 species
ACCCGCUGAACUUAAGCAUAUCAAUAAGCGGAGGAAAAGAAACUAACAAGGAUUCCCCUAGUAACGGCGAGCGAAGCGGGAAGAGCUCAAAUUUGAAAGCUGGCACCUCCGGUGUCCGCGUUGUAAUCUCGAGACGUGUUUUCCGUGCGGCUCUAUGGACAAGUCCCUUGGAAUAGGGCAUCGUAGAGGGUGAGAAUCCCGUACUUGCCAUGGAAGAACCGUGCUUUGCGAUACACGCUCUAAGAGUCGAGUUGUUUGGGAUUGCAGCUCAAAAUGGGUGGUAGACUCCAUCUAAAGCUAAAUAUCGGGGAGAGACCGAUAGCGAACAAGUACCGUGAGGGAAAGAUGAAAAGCACUUUGGAAAGAGAGUUAAAAGUACGUGAAAUUGUCGAAAGGGAAGCACUUGAAGUCAGCCAUGCUGCUUGAGACUCAGCCUGGCCUUUGGGCUUGGUGUAUUUCUCGGUGGCAAGCCAGCAUUGGUUUGGGUCGUCGGAGAAGCGCAUAGGGAAUGUAGCGUUUCCGGACGUGUUAUAGCCUUAUGCAGGAUACGACGACCUGGAUCAAGGAACGCAGUGUGCCCUCUGGGCGGGUCUUCGGACACCUUCACACUUAGGAUGCUGGCGUAAUGGCUUUAAGUGGCCCGUCUUGAAACACGGACCAAGGAG